AUACGGAUCGGGAACGGAAUAUAAAAUAUAUUAUAUAGAAAAGAAAAUUUGUUUAACCAAAGAAAACCCACGCUCGCACCCGGGCCCCCCCUCUCUAGCCACCCUCUAACUCAAUCAGAAUUGACGUCGUGCUUUAUCUUUUAAAUAUAUUUGAAUUUAGACAAGAUUUUUCCGGUUUAUGGCCAGUUUUAUAAACAUCAUAAUAAUAUAUAAAAAUAACAAAAAGUAUAUCUAAUAAUUGGACAAAAAUUUUACAUCGUAUUCCAUCUAUAUUUAUAUAUUCCGAUAUAUAUUAAAGUGUCUCUGUGUGUGUGUGUGUGUGUGUGUGUGUGAGUGUCUUUGAUAAAAGUCCAAGUCAAAAAAAAGUUCUUCAAAUGGGUUGAUUUGUGACAUUACAGCUUCCUGGACCCGGGAAACAAAAGGGAUAUAAUAUAAACUUGGACCUCAAAAGAGACCAGAGACCAGCAGCAGCAGCAGCAGCAUCCGCAGCGAAGCGUGUCCAGCAUCCGCAUUAACAUCCGCCAAUUCGCCACCAAAAUCUCAAAUAGUUCUCAAACCUCAAAAAAAAAAGAAAAACAACAACAAAAAACUAGAGAAAGUCGAAUCAAUUGAACUUUAUAUCCAA